CUAAUACAUGCAAGUCGAACGCUCUGAUUUCGGUCAGGGAGUGGCGCACGGGUGAGUAACACGUACGCAAUCUGCCUUGUGCAGGAGGAUAGCCCUGGGAAACUGGGCGUAAUACUCCAUGGUAUUGUCCAAUUGCAUGAUUGGAUAAUUAAAGCUACGGCGGCACGAGAUGAGCGUGCGUCUGAUUAGGUAGUUGGUGAGGUAACGGCUCACCAAGCCGACGAUCAGUAAGGGGCGUGAGAGCGUGGCCCCUCACACGGGUACUGAGACACGGACCCGACUCCUACGGGAGGCAGCAGUAAGGAAUAUUGGACAAUGGGCGGAAGCCCUGAUCCAGCCAUCCCGCGUGCAGGAUGACGGCCCUAUGGGUUGUAAACUGCCUUAGACUGGAAAGAAAGUCGCGGAUUUAUCUGUAAUUGACGGUACCAGUAGAAUAAGCACCGGCUAGCUCCGUGCCAGCAGCCGCGGUAAUACGGAGGGUGCAAGCGUUAUCCGGAAUUACUGGGUUUAAAGGGUGCGUAGGCUGCUAUGUAAAGUCAGAGGUGAAAGCCCGGCGCUUAACGGUGGAAAUUGCCUUUGAUAACUUGCAUAGCUUUGAAACAGGUUGAGGUUGGCGGAAAUGUGACAUUGUAGCGGUGAAAUGCCUAGAUAUGUCAUAGAACACCAAUUGCGAAGGCAGCUGACUGGACCUGG
rnacentral:rRNA from 1 species